GUAGGGAAUAUUGCGCAAUGGGGGAAACCCUGACGCAGCGACGCCGCGUGAGUGAUGAAGGCCUUCGGGUCGCAAAGCUCUGUUGCAGGGGAAUAAAAAAAUGAAGGUACCCUGUGAGGAAGGAUCGGCUAACUUCGUGCCAGCAGCCGCGGUAAGACGAGGGAUCCUAGCGUUGCUCGGAAUCAUUGGGCGUAAAGAGGGCGUAGGUGGCUUGGUAAGUCAGGUGUGAAAGCCCAGGGCUCAACCCUGGAAGUGCAUUUGAUACUGCUGAGCUUGAGUGUCGGAGAGGUUACCGGAAUACCUGGUGUAGUGGUGAAAUACGUAGAUAUCAGGUGGAACACCGGAGGCGAAGGCGGGUAACUGGACGAACACUGACACUGAGGCCCGAAAGCGUGGGGAUCAAACAGGAUUAGAAACCCUUGUAGUCC
rnacentral:rRNA from 1 species